ensembl:misc_RNA Metazoa_SRP Metazoan signal recognition particle RNA
GCCAGGCAUGGUGGUGUGUGCCUGUAAUCCCAGCUACUGGAGAGGCUGAGGCAGGACAAUCGCUUGAGCCCAGGAGUUCAAGGCUGCAGUGAGCAGUGACCAUGCCACUGCAUUCCAGCCUGGUCAACAGAGUGAGAACCUGUCUUUA